ensembl:lncRNA
AGAUAAUUUGUAUUGUUUUCUCUGUUUGAUGGUAGGCCAACUGUGCUGAUGUUAUUCUUGUUACAGCCUAGAAGAGUGGCUGAGAAUCUUCCAGGAUUUUUACAGCUUGAAUCUAAACCUUAGCCAACUCCAUAGAACACAGGCAGAGUAGUGAUAUCGCAGUCAGUGAGCAUUGCCGGAGAACUUCAACUUCCUGGAUGUGGUGAAGAAAAAGCAUGUCUCCAGAUAUUUUCACCCUGAGAAGGUGACUCGUGGUCCUACAGCAGCAGAAGUGGCAAGGAAGGCCCCAGCAUUUCCCAGGAGAAGCGGGUUGGACCCACUGAGCAAGUCCCGCUGUAGGGUAUGUUGGGAUGCUGCCUGGAAAUGUGAACCAUGAAAAAGCUGUCCUUGGUGGCCAAGUCGUGUCCUGCAUACAAACAGUGGCACUCAGACCCUCUGUUUGGUGCUAAUUUGCAUUACAGAGGAAGCUGCGUCAUUCAGGGUGGAAAGAAAAAGCAAAUCAGCUCUUUUUAAUGCUGGUGAACCACCAACGAGCUGCCCACCUUUUAUUUACUGUAAGGCUGGAGUUCUAUGUGGCAGCACAAUUGUGUAUCUCUGCACAAUUACAGCACUGCCUCUCCUCACUGCAGACAAAGAAGGGAAGGCAUUCACUUGCUCCUGCCUGAAAGCUGCCUUCAGCUAUUCGUGAAACCAUAGAUACAUCUGCUUGGACCGUCCAAUCCCCGGUGCUUCCCCCGGAGGGGGAAUAUCCAGACAUUGUCAUUUCAGCACAAGAAGCUGGAUGCAUUUAUUAAUCAACCUUUUUGCUGAGUGGAAGUCUGGCUGCUCUCUCCUACCAUAGUCUAAAUCCCUCAGUCUGCUUCUAUUACAAGACUUACACAAAAGAACAUUUUCUUCCACUCUUUCUUACAGAAAUGGGAAGACCUGAAUGCUUUUCUUUUUCUCUUCCCUGGGUCUUCUUUUGACUGACUGGGAUUUUUCACGGCUGUAUCAGAAAGUUGGACAUCCCCCUUUGUUUCGGAAGCAUUUGGUGAUGGAUCACAUUUUAAUUGGCGUUGAGGUUUACAGAAAAAGGGAGCACCACAGGAAGUUAUUAGAAUAACAACACUACGCAUCUGCACAGGAAUUAAAACUGCAAAUGUAGGGGGCAUAUUAAUUGCUACCAAAUGCUUUGUUUUUCUCCUCCUCGAAAAGCCCAGCUCAACAAAAGCCUUAUUAUUAUUAUUAUUAUUAUUGGUGUGUAUUUUUCAUGUCUUUCUGUCCCAGUAAAAUGUAAGUGAUUAGAUUUGUGGGAUUUUAGCCUCAUGUAUAAGAUUUCCUAUAUAGCAUGGUUCAGAAUAUUUACAAAGGAGAUGAACACAUUUGUUCUGACAAGGAAGAUACUGAUGGCUGCAGACAGAUACAGCUCAUCCAACACUGUUGUUCCCACAGUGAGAGUCUGAGCAUGGUCUGUGCUAGUUUGUGCCAAAGAUGGUCAAAAUGUUUUGCCUGUGCUCUUUGAUUUUUCCCCAUGAAAUCACUGAUAUGUUGUCACAGAGCCAUAAUUCAAGUUGCUGUUGAAAUGAGAAGUAAUACAGAGAUUGUUAGGAGUUUAAGUUGUUAUUCCCUACACGACAAUUUUUUGUUUUUAAAUAAGGGGUAGGAAACAAAGCAAAUAUUGCCCAUAGAUCUCCAUAAAGAAUUUCAGCUGAUUGAAACACUGUUUUUUUUUUUUUUCCUGUUCAAGAAAGGAGAAUGUUGGAAAGAUUUUGCACAGCUAACUGCACAGAUUUCCUUCUUUUUAUUUUUUGAGUCAUUCUAACACAUUACUUUUUUCCACAUUGAUCAUACUUUGUAAAUUCCCCCUAAUGCUAUUUUCUAACCACAGUGCUCCUUCACCAAUAACUGUAAAAGGACAUCCCUAGAACAAUGGAUAGCUUUUCUAGCACCUAUCCUAAUACCUAUUCUAAUAGGAAAAAAACAAGCAUUAAAGAAGUGUUAGGUUUGUGGGUAAUGUCU